rnacentral:tRNA from 3 species
GGUCUUGUAGUUAAGUGGUAAUAACAUCGGAUUGUCUCUCCGAAGUCGUGGGUUCGAUUCCCACCUAGACCG